GACGAACGCUGGCGGCGUGCUUAACACAUGCAAGUCGAACGGAAAGGCCCCUUUGGGGGUACUCGAGUGGCGAACGGGUGAGUAACACGUGAGUAACCUGCCCUUGACUUCGGGAUAACUUCAGGAAACUGGGGCUAAUACCGGAUAGGAAUCCUUGCUGCAUGGUGGGGGUUGGAAAGCUUCGGCGGUUUUGGAUGGACUCGCGGCUUAUCAGCUUGUUGGUGGGGUAGUGGCUUACCAAGGCUUUGACGGGUAGCCGGCCUGAGAGGGCGACCGGCCACAUUGGGACUGAGAUACGGCCCAGACUCCUACGGGAGGCAGCAGUGGGGAAUAUUGCACAAUGGGCGGAAGCCUGAUGCAGCAACGCCGCGGGCGGGAGGACGGCCUUCGGGUUGUAAACCGCGUUCAGCAGGGGCGAAGCUUGUGGUGACGGUACCUGCAGAAGAAGCACCGGCUAACUACGUG
rnacentral:rRNA from 1 species